GAGGGUGAGUGCUCUGAAAAAAAUGAAUACGAGGAAAUAAAAAGGGGCAAGUGCCCGGAACCUCAAAGUAAAGAAAAAGUGAGACAAGAGGUAAAAAUGGACAAGUGUCCGACAGUAAAGUUAGGGGUACAAGAUACCCACCUGAGAGAAAAGAAAAAAGAAAAUAUAAAGCAUCUCAUUCUACUCAAAAAGCUUCAAAGUGCAA
rnacentral:lncRNA from 1 species